UGGGAUGUAGCCAAGCGGUAAGGCAACGGUUUUUGGUAUCGUCAUGCGCAGGUUCGAAUCCUGCCAUCCCAG
rnacentral:tRNA from 1 species